AAUAAGUACAAUUUUACAAUAUUUAUGUCCAACGAUCAUCUUAUUUGAAAAUUUUUAUGAUUAGUAUUUUUAUUGUUAUUCGAUGAUAAAACAUGAAUAGUACUUUAUGUGUGACUAAUUUUUUAUUUUUUUUAUAAAUUUUUAAAAUAAAACGAACGGUAAAACAUUGGCUACGGAUACCACGACUGUAUUUAUU
rnacentral:pre_miRNA from 1 species